rnacentral:rRNA from 1 species
GAUGAACGCUGGCGGCGUGCCUAAUACAUGCAAGUCGAGCGAACGGACGAGAAGCUUGCUUCUCUGAUGUUAGCGGCGGACGGGUGAGUAACACGUGGAUAACCUACCUAUAAGACUGGGAUAACUUCGGGAAACCGGAGCUAAUACUGGAUAAUAUUUUGAACCGCAUGGUUCAAAAGUGAAAGACGGUCUUGCUGUCACUUAUAGAUGGAUCCGCGCUGCAUUAGCUAGUUGGUAAGGUAACGGCUUACCAAGGCAACGAUGCAUAGCCGACCUGAGAGGGUGAUCGGCCACACUGGAACUGAGACACGGUCCAGACUCCUACGGGAGGCAGCAGUAGGGAAUCUUCCGCAAUGGGUGAAAGCCUGACGAAGCAACGCCGCGUGAGUGAUGAAGGUCUUCGGAUCGUAAAACUCUGUUAUUAGGGAAGAACAUAUGUGUAAGUAACUGUGCACAUCUUGACGGUACCUAAUCAGAAAGCCACGGCUAACUACGUG